rnacentral:rRNA from 1 species
AUGGCCGGUAGACGGGCAGCAAAAAAGGUUCUGGUGCUGCACACCAACAAGAACUUUGACCACCAGAGGACGAACUGGGUGAUGCACCAGUACCACAUCAGGGACCUAGAGCAAGAGAAGGAGCGGGAGCUGGUCCUCUACAAGAGUUUCUACCAGACAAACACUAGGGCCAGGAGUAGUUUGGUAUUGGUAGUUGUACUACCUUGUCAUCCGCAAGUUGGUAUUGUUGUUAACGAUCUUUUGGCCCAGCCCAUGACGACAACGGGGCACAAAGAUCCGGCAGGUAUCUACUGGCCUCUGGCCCGCCAGCGUUAG